ACAGCAAGGCUUUGAAAUGAGUAUCUGGUGCUUACAGCGCAGUGCCCAGUAACCACAUGCUCUCUACCAAGUGUUUCCCAACUCUUGGCACUAUCCAAGAAAGAAUUCAGAGAUGAGACCAAGUAAAGAAUUAAGAGAAAGUACUACUACAGAGAGAAGUCCACACUCUAGAAGCAAAUGUGUGCAGGCUUCUCAAGGGAAAACCUAUGGCCAUGAUUUUGAAUGCUCUGUCUUAUGGGCAAGCUUUAGAAGAGGAGAAGAUUAUUCAAGAGUUAAAGUAGGGAAAGAAUGAAUGUAUGGGCACUUUCCAGAAUUAAGGUUUAUUUUCUGUCCUUAUGGGUUUGGGCUUGUCAUGAUACCAGAUGCAUAAUGGGAGCAGGCGAAUUUGCACUGCCAGUGACAUGGAAAUGCUGCUAUAAAGAAGCAAAGAUUAGCGUCCAUUUUCAUCCCAGCGUCCCGAGUACUUUUGUCAGACACUUUGCACGGAUACUGAUGUGCUGCUGCUGCUGCUGCUGCUGCUGCUGCUGCUGCUGCUGCUGCACUCUGCAAUAGCAUCACACCCAAGCUGCAGUGUAAUUACCUUUAGUUUUCCCUGUCCCUAGUCUACCUCACAACCCUUUUAUUCUACAAAAAUCCAUCCAUCAGCUGAUCAGUGUCCACACCACUUGGUAGUAGAUGUCUGCUGUGAAUUGCGUACCCCAUCCAGACUCGAUAGACUGAAGCCCUAACUCCACAUUCAGUUAUUGAGAAAUAAGGCAUAUCCUGAA
rnacentral:lncRNA from 1 species